UGCACUUUCAAGUACCCUUCACUAUCAAACAUCCCAGAAUUCUCUUCACACACACACACCAACGUGACAUAGGAUUGACAAGGAAUCGAAUGUGAAGAGCUGCAGAUAACGGUAGGAUCAAGUCCUACAAUCCAACAACACUUUUUUUCACCAUAAAAAGGGAAAUGUUCUGUGAGACUCCACUCCGGAAAGAGGAAAUACUCAAGUGCGACACCUUUAAGCGAACGAGGUUGAGUGGUGACGAACGCGGUGGGUGUUGAGCAUGAAAGUGAAGAAGAUGACUUCAGUGAAAGGAUGAAGUUGAGCUGUUCGGAUACUCAUAAGGAAUAAGUUUCUUUUUUCGACAAAAUUUUGGGAAUGGAUUGGCUUACCAAGAACCACGCAACGAUUCACUGUAAAGAGAGACAUAUUUCUUUCCAAGCCCCUGGCGACGAGCUGACCAUCUUGCACGGGAUCUCUUUGAACCGAAGAACCUCCAUAAUCUCUGCUUUACAAGCAACCACGAUGAUAAGAAAAUGGCGUUCUGCGUAUCUUGUGUACUUGAACGGAGAGAAAAAGAAGGAUUUGAGGGUGGAAGAUGUGGCAGUAGUACGAGAUUUUUUUCCCAAUGUGUUCCCUGAAACUUUGCCUGGACUGCCGCCCGACAGACAAGUGGAGUUUAUAUCGACUUGGAACCCGAAUCUGCGCCAGUAUCGAAAGCACCAUACCGAAUGGCUCCUAAAGAGUUGGCUGAAUUGAAGAUUCAGUUGCAAGAACUAAAUCUGGCGGCUAAUAUUGGUAUAUGUUUCGCUUGAGAAAGCUUCACAAUCAAUACCAAGAUAGACAUCCAUAAAUUGUUCAUUUGUAAAAGUGAGAGGCAUGAUGGUGGUUGGCGGCUGAGGGAGAACUGAGAAGCUAGGUUUCAGAAAGUGAGCUGAAUGUCAUAUAAACUGAGAGUAGGUUGAGUCACAUUUGGAUUGAUUUUAGUUGAUGGGCUAACAUAUUUUAAAUUUUGUUGAUAUUCGGCUUGAUCAUCCAA